rnacentral:rRNA from 1 species
UGCAAGUCGAACGGAAGUAAGAAGCUUGCUUUUUACUUUAGUGGCGCACGGGAGAGUAACGCGUAGAUAAUCUGCCUUGGAAUCUGGGAUAACAUCUCGAAAGGGGUGCUAAUACCUGAUAAGCCCACGGAGGCGCGAGUCUUUGCGGGAAAAGGGGGCCUCUGAACAUGCUCCUGUUUCAAGAUGAGUCUGCGUACCAUUAGCUAGUUGGUGGGGUAAGGGCCUACCAAGGCUACGAUGGUUAGCUGGUCUGAGAGGAUGAUCAGCCACACUGGAACUGAGACACGGUCCAGACUCCUACGGGAGGCAGCAGUGGGGAAUUUUGCGCAAUGGGGGCAACCCUGACGCAGCAACGCCGCGUGAGUGAUGAAGGCUUUCGGGUCGUAAAGCUCUGUCAAGAGAGACGAAGUGUAGGGAGGCUAAUACCCUUUUUACUUGACGGUACCUCUGAAGGAAGCACCGGCUAACUCCGUGCCAGCAGCCGCGGUAAUACGGAGGGUGCAAGCGUUGUUCGGAAUUAUUGGGCGUAAAGCGCGUGUAGGCGGUUUGUUAAGUCUGAUGUGAAAGCCCCGGGCUCAACCUGGGAAGUGCAUUGGAAACUGGCAGACUUGAAUACGGGAGAGGGUAGUGGAAUUCCUGGUGUAGGAGUGAAAUCCGUAGAUAUCAGGAGGAACACCGGUGGCGAAGGCGGCUGCCUGGACCGAUAUUGACGCUGAGACGCGAAAGCGUGGGGAGCAA